GGUCAAUUUUUAUACUCUAAUUUGAAAUUAGUUGUUUAAGCAUUAUUUGUUUGUUGAUCU
rnacentral:tRNA from 1 species